rnacentral:tRNA from 1 species
CAAAAUAGAGCUUGAUUGGUAAGCUGUUCAUUUACAAUGAAAGGAUCGUUGUCGUUUAAUGUAUUUUGA